UCGACCUGGUUGGGUAUAUUGCUAGCAAUGGAAUUUUUAGUCUCCAUUACUAACAAUCCCUUUCCCCACUGUGUAGAUUGUUAGAUAUUCCUGACCAAGUCGGUUUAGAUGGCUUGUAUGAAGUGUGCUCUUUUAUCACUUGAUUAUAUAUUUUUCGCUUCGUGUCAUAUUUGUUUUUUUCACAAGGUUGAUACCGUCUAAUUGCAACUCGAUCAGCCCUCCUUUUUUGUUAUUUAAUUACUAAUUACUAAUUCUAUUAUUGUAAUAUUAGGGGUUUGUUUGUUCUUCUAUGUUCAAUUUAUGUUUUGGAACGGAGAAGGUUUGUCUUACGAGUAUAAUCUCCACAAAUCUCCAAGAUUUUUCAGGUGACUUUUUCGUGGUUAUAACAGUCUUGCAGCUGUGAUUUGGAAUCUCGCUGCAAAACAUCUGUACUCUGGUGCCAAAAUCAUUGAGACUGCAAUGUAUAUUUCUAAGAAUUUCAUAUUUAACGAAGGUUUCCAAGCAGUUUUAAAAAUAAUGGCAAUUAUGGGAUGGCCGAAUGGCCGCGAAGCAUAUGCUAAUGCACAAAACCGCGAUAAAGCGCGCAUAGCACGCUCCGAACGCCGGACUGAAGCAAGAGUAGAACAACCCGCAUUAGAAGAAUUUCAAGAGGAAGAGGAAGGAGAGUUCUAAGGACCAGACAUCGCAGAUUGAUGAUAAGCCGAUCAACCAACAUCAUGGAGGAAGUGAGCAUCAUUUAUUUGGAAGCAGCUGUCUUCAGAGUGGUGUAACUUAAGUUUUAAUUAAGUUUAUUACUUGAAAUAUGUUAAUAUGAAAUAUGUAGGCCCUCACACGGGGGCACCUUUGUAAGAUUUUGUUUGUAUAAAAACAAAAUUAGUUUUCAUACCUGUUCAAUUGAAAAAAGUACAAUACAAUAAUAAAUAAAUACUAAAAUAUAUGCUAGUG